rnacentral:tRNA from 1 species
CGGACAGAGCAAUUGCCUUCUAAGCAAUCGGUCAGUGGUUCGACUCCACUACAACGCGCCA